rnacentral:rRNA from 1 species
UACGGAAUAGCUUCUGGAAACGGGAGGUAGUACCGGGGNAGCGGUGCGGGGGAAAGAUUAUCGCUGAAGGGACGGCCCGCGUUAGAUUAGCUUGUAGGUGAGGUAAUGGCUCACCAGGGCGACGAUCUAUAGCUGGUCUGAGAGGAUGAUCAGCCACACUGGGACUGAGACACGGCCCAGAGUCCUACGGGAGGCAGCAGUGGGGAAUCUUGGCCAAUGGGCGAGAGCGAGAGNCNNNCNUGCCGCGUGAAUGAUGAAGGGCGGAGGGUUGUACCCCNCUUUCAUCAGGAACGAUAAUGACGGUACCUGAAGAAGAAGCCCCGGCUAACUUCGUGCCAGCAGCCGCGGUAAUACGAACGGGGCUAGCGUUGUUCGGAAUUACUGGGCGUAAAGCGCGCGUAGGCGGACUAUUAAGUCAGAUGUGAAAUCCCGGGGCUCAACCUCGGAACUGCAUUUGAAACUGGUAGUCUAGAGGCCAGGAGAGGUUAGUGGAAUGCCGAGUGUCGAGGUGAAAUUCGUAGAUAUUCGGUGGAACACCAGUGGCGAAUGCGACUGACUGGACUGGUACUGACGCUG